CCUACGGGAGGCUGCAGUGGGGAAUAUUGGACAAUGGGCGAAAGCCUGAUCCAGCCAUGCCGCGUGUGUGAAGAAGGCCUUCGGGUUGUAAAGCACUUUCAGUGGGGAAGAAAGCCUUGGGGCUAAUACCCUCGAGGAAGGACAUCACCCACAGAAGAAGCACCGGCUAACUCCGUGCCAGCAGCCGCGGUAAUACGGAGGGUGCGAGCGUUAAUCGGAAUUACUGGGCGUAAAGCGCGCGUAGGCGGUCUGAUAAGCCGGUUGUGAAAGCCCCGGGCUCAACCUGGGAACGGCAUCCGGAACUGUCAGGCUAGAGUGCAGGAGAGGAAGGUAGAAUUCCCGGUGUAGCGGUGAAAUGCGUAGAGAUCGGGAGGAAUACCAGUGGCGAAGGCGGCCUUCUGGACUGACACUGACGCUGAGGUGCGAAAGCGUGGGUAGCAAACAGGAUUAGAUACCCGUUAGUC
rnacentral:rRNA from 1 species